rnacentral:antisense_RNA from 1 species
GUGGUUCCCCAAUGCCCCCACCCUUCCGUGGCCCCAGCCAGUGGGGCUCAGCUCUGGCCACCCUGACAUGAAGGGGAAGGUCCAGCAGCCAAACCCCAGGGGCUCUGAAGGAAUCGGCCUGUGGGCAGGAGACGCCAGGUACCUGCUUUUGUUUCUUUUUAAAUUUCCCCCAGGUGGUUCUGUUGUGCCACCAGGAUGCCAAAUCCCCCAGGCCCCUUAACCUUUGUAGGAGCACACGCUCCAAAGCAAUCGCUGCAGUCAGCCUGCACACGGCUACCCCACAGAGGCCCAAACACACCUGGCCACACACUGCACACGUGCUCACAGCACCCCACACUCACACCCACGCCGGGACCUGGCUCCCUGAGGACCUGGAUGCACAAGGAGGGACAUGCGCGUGACCUUUAGGCUGAGGGUGGGAUCGCACUGCUCGAACAUGAAGUCCCAGAUAUCCAGGGUUCCGUCCAUCCUGGUGGUAAAGAAAACAGCCGGCCUCACAGGGCUCCAGGCAGCAUCAGUGAGGAGGAGGACAAGGGAGACCCAGGUUCUAGGACACAGGUCCACCAAGUCCCUCUAGGAACCAGCUCUGCGAAAGGCCUAUGGGUGCUGUGCGCGACACCCUGCCCUCACAGCCCCUUUCACACAGCCCUGGCAGCCUGC